CAGCCAAAAAUGGUGAUAGUGAAAACAAUGGCUGCUCUGGGGACCGAAACCUACCACCAUCAAAUCAAGUAUCAUUUUGAUGACUUUAAUUUGCCGUAAGACGAAUUUUUAAAAGGAACAGACUAAAUUGGAUGAAAGCUGGAUACCUCUGGAAAUAACAAAAUUCAACAGGUUAAAUUACCUAACAACAGAUUUUAAUAUAAUAGAAGCACUGAACAAAUCAAAGGCAGAACUAAUGAAAAUACAGAUAAAACUAAAAUCAGAAGAUUUUUCCAAACAAACCUCCCUCUGAUUAGUACAAAAUGUCCCUCUGGCAACUGAUGAGUAGAAAAAAAUGAUGUAAAACCAGAUCCAUUCAUAUGAAAGGCUUCCCAAUGGAUGCAACUCCUGAUGACAUAAUUAUUUUAUGUCUAAUCUUUUAAAGAUUAGAAGAUAAAGGACAAGCACUAAAUAUUCAAAUGAGAAAAACAUUACACAAAGCAUUUAAGCAAUCAACACGUGCAGUGUUUGACGGUAUUAAAUCCAAUAAAAAGUUUAUAGAGACCCUGGCCCUGAACCCUGGUAUAAAAAUACAGACCUUCUAACACUUUUCAAGGAGGAUUAUUUUGCAAAACAAGAAUGAAGCAAAACAAAGUAUAAACUAAAUUCAGAGCUAAGCAAGAGCAAGAAGAAAAAUGGAAUGCUGAGGAUGCUCAAAUGAAAUGUCUAGAUUGAAUGUUUGCUGAAAUUUUGGGAUGACUUAGAUAAUGUGACCUGUAGAAAGCACCCACAUAUCCUUUUCUCAAAUCAUGGGGAAAUAAAAUGGAUACACUUUAUCAGUAGAGCAAAAGAGAGAUUAAUUCUAUGUAAGAAAAAAGCUAAAGAAACACUAAAUAAAGCAGAAGCAGCCAGCAAUUGUAACCUAUGACUAAGAAACAAGGAAGAGAUGUGGAAAUUACUAGACAGAAAGGUAGAAAAAGAAACACUGAAAAAAACUCAUGCAAAAUCACCAAGAAUCUCUAAACAAAUGAGAAUCAAAAGGUCAUAGAUUUAAAGGAAAAAGAAAGGGAAAUAAAGCUGCCUAGGCUGGAUCUGCUAAAGGAAAUGCACAACUUCAGGGCAGGAAAAUGAUAGUUCAGGAUGAUGAAAAUGAUGCAGCUGGACCAGCAAAAACAAAGAAUUGCUUCAAAACAACAGAAAACACAAAAUGGCGCUGGAGACUAG
rnacentral:lncRNA from 1 species